UACCUCACCAGUCCACCCUACUGUCAACAUUAAACCAAAUCAUUCAUAUUUUGUCUACAGAGGGCUUGCAGUUGCGUCACAAAUCACCUAGCAACCCCACCUUGCACCAUGUUGGAAGACCAAAGUUAGUAUGUGGGAUGCCUCCAAUCGACCACAUGGCUGGCUGCAUUCUGCUACCACCGGAAACUUCGGGAAGAUUGCCCAUUAUUUAUUUUCUCUAAGCACCCAGAAGACGAGGGCGUGGGAGAACCUAUUCAAAUAGAGUGCCAUGAAACACUGUCUACAGAUGAAGAGGUCCCAAUGAUUGUCCCAAGAGAAAAAGGGUACAUCCUUGUAUACCAAGGAUUAUAUGUGUACCUAUGUUGGCAAAUUUUGUGAACAGAAAUACAGUUUAAAAGUCACACACAAUGUAUAAACCUAUUACAGCUGGAGCAGACCAACCCUGCUGGGUGUGCAGGCUUCUGUUCCAGCCCUGCACUAACACACCUGAUUCAAUGUAUCAAACCUAUUACAGCUGGAGCAGACCAACCCUGCUGGGUGUGCAGGCUUCUGUUCCAGCCCUGCACUAACACACCUGAUUCAAUGUAUCAAACCUAAUUAGUUCAUUAUCAGGUAUGCUAUUGCUGGGCAGGAACGUAAGUCUGCUCCUCCAGUAGAUCAGUGAUCAGUGGAUGGAGGUUGGCCACCUCUUGUAUUUUUGUUGUUGUUCUACUUAAAUGAUGCUUUAGUAGUAAUAGCCUACUUAUUACUAAAAUGUCUAACCUUUACAUAUCAGUUAGUUUACUUGUAUACUUUGUAAUUAUAUGAAAUAGUGUUGAAAUAGAUAAGUUAUAAACUUGAUUUAAUUGUUAACUAUUAUUCAAAAUGAACUAUGUUGCUUCAUCACAAUCCUGCAAUAAAGAGGGGAAUCUGUCUCUAA